AGAGCUGAGGCAAGGAGUACCUGGCACUGCUUCACCGCUCAUCCCUUGCUACCAAGAAGCAGGGCCUACAUGUUGGGAAGAUUGCUUUGCUUUUCCAUACCCAUUUUAAAUUCCACAUUCCCCAGGUGGAAUUUCUCUCUCCAUCUCCAUCCUUGGCACUUUUCACAUUUCUGAGCACUUAUUACAGUCUGCCAGAUACUGGGAUUACAUAGGUUUUCUCUAUUCCAUACUGAUCUCCUAGGGAGAGUUCCAUAGUUAUCUCUGCCUUCCACAGUAUAUCAGAGGUCCAAUAAAACCUGGGCAGCUUGUCAAGGGCAAAAACCAGUUGAUUCUAUCUCAGUAAAGCUGGGGCCAGUGGGGAGGGGAGGCAAUAGCCACACGAGUAAGAAGAUGGGUUAUACACAGGCUAUUGCAAUAAAAAGAGCACCCAAGACCCAAAACCUCUCCAUGGGGUGGUUUUGCUUUAAUUUUUAAGGGAAAGGAAGGAGAGUAAAUAAGUGGCAAAGGAGAUGAUUAACAGUGGGGUUGUUUGAAAGCAGGACAAAUUUUGGUCAGUUUUCUUGAAAAACACCGGAAAAUGUUUUUCUCUGUAAUUAGCUUGUUUCAGGGAGACAAACAGUUCUAAUCUCAGCUAAUCAAUCAUGAGACAAAGAACAGGAAGUUGGAGAGGCUCCAUCUAGCCUCGUUUGCUGGUUCAGACAAAGGGGGAAAGGUCUGUGUUUGACCUUGUCUCUGGUCAGGGGAGACACUGUCCUGUUUGAUGAGUCAUGAGAAAGAACGGCCUCCAGGCCUUAAUCUAAGUUACAUGGGGAAGGGCGGUUCUUUGUGUCAAACUGUUUAUUGCAACACAGAAGGUUGGGAAAUUUCUUAACUGUCGCUGUUUUCCAGAAGCACAAGGCUCAGGUGAAGUUCAAUAUUUUCAAACUGAAUGAAAGCAAAUGUGCCGCAGUCUCUCAAGUGAUGCCAAAAGUCACUAAUUAUCAUCUCAGAUUGGAUAUCAAACAGCUCAUACAUAGAAGUGCUGCUAUAUCACUGGGUUUGUAAUCCUGGGACACCCCAAGUACCUGGAAGUCAACAUCAGGUGAAGUGCGGCAUACCCAGAACCUUUCUUUGUCGAAGACGAGAAACUGUUUAGCGACUUCUGUAGUCAUUUAUCUGCUUCUCUAAACCAUGUUGCCUCUGCAACUUGACUUUCUCCAGUGAUUCCACAACCACAACCUUUCGGGCUUUUUUUUUUCUUUCUCACUUUGUAUAUUAGCCUAGAAUCAGUUCUCUGGGGCGCUUUAAUGACCGUGAUUCCUCAUUAUACCCUUCAGUACAUAAGUGACUGAUAAGGGAGGAAGCUUUUAAAUGAGAACCUCACCAGCUUCUGCACUUAAUCAUCAUUGUGUGGAUUUCAGGACUAAUGUGGGACUACUGUUUAUUUAUGAGGACUCCCUAAGUACCAACAACAUUUGAAUGAAGAAGCUGAGCCUUUAAUUGUGUCUUCCUAAUGAAACUGAAUAGUCUGUCUCCUAGGGAGGGGGUCUUGCUGACUGUCAGGUCUGCCAUGUUCAGGAGUCCAAGCACAAUUCUGUAAAGCCCCCUUUCCCUAUCCCUCAGUUGAAAUGCUUCCAAUUAUCAAAGUCCAUAUUUCUAACAAUAGCUCUCUCUCCUGUUGAGCUUUUCCUGAUCACUGUCCCUCAGAGAUUUCUUCUCUAAAUCUGCAAAGCUUUUGUAUCAGUUUGCCUUUUAGACCAGUGCCCCCACAUACAUGCUCCCUAGGUUGUAAGCUGUUGGAAGGCAGGGGCUUCAACCAUAAGCAUUUAAGUUUUCACGGGAUGUUACCUGUGUUGAAUUUAACAUUAACUGAAUGCAGAUGGUCCCCGAGAGCCACACACUUCAAUCCCAGCCCUCCCAAGGGCUGUCUGAGCAAGUCAGGGAAAUGUAUUUCUCAUGUUUGAACUGCUGUUUCCAUCAACUGGGUUGGGUCUUCUUGCCACCAAGACAAUAAUAAACAUGUACCCAAAACUUACAAAGUGAGAGAAGCUUUGCAUCUGAAGGAACUGCACUCCCAAGCAUGUAAAUGUGUGAAAAUUGCUGAAGAGAGCAAAGGAUGCAUGUCGGCUACUAUAUAGAGGGGCUUAUUUAUUUAUGUAAGCAGUUGUUUGCUUUCUUCAGAGAACCAUG